rnacentral:rRNA from 1 species
AUUGAACGCUGGCGGCAGGCCUAACACAUGCAAGUCGAGCGGUAACAGGAGAAAGCUUGCUUUCUUGCUGACGAGUGGCGGACGGGUGAGUAAUGUCUGGGAAACUGCCUGAUGGAGGGGGAUAACUACUGGAAACGGUAGCUAAUACCGCAUAACGUCGCAAGACCAAAGAGGGGGACCUUCGGGCCUCUUGCCAUCGGAUGUGCCCAGAUGGGAUUAGCUAGUAGGUGGGGUAACGGCUCACCUAGGCGACGAUCCCUAGCUGGUCUGAGAGGAUGACCAGCCACACUGGAACUGAGACACGGUCCAGACUCCUACGGGAGGCAGCAGUGGGGAAUAUUGCACAAUGGGCGCAAGCCUGAUGCAGCCAUGCCGCGUGUAUGAAGAAGGCCUUCGGGUUGUAGAGUACUUUCAGCGGGGAGGAAGGGAGUAAAGUUAAUACCUUUGCUCAUUGACGUACCCGCAGAAGAGCACCG